rnacentral:rRNA from 1 species
CCUACGGGAGGCAGCAGUGAGGAAUAUUGGUCAAUGGACGAGAGUCUGAACCAGCCAAGUAGCGUGAAGGAUGACUGCCCUAUGGGUUGUAAACUUCUUUUAUAAAGGAAUAAAACGAGGCACGUGUGCCUUUUUGCAUGUACUUUAUGAAUAAGGAUCGGCUAACUCCGGGCCAGCAGCCGCGGUAAUACGGAGGAUCCGAGCGUUAUCCGGAUUUAUUGGGUUUAAAGGGAGCGUAGAUGGGUUGUUAAGUCAGUUGUGAAAUUUUGCGGCUCAACCGUAAAAUUGCAAUUGAUACUGGCAGUCUUGAGUACAGUUGAGGUAGGCGGAAUUCGUGGUGUAGCGGUGAAAUGCUUAGAUAUCACGAAGAACCCCGAUUGCGAAGGCAGCUUACUAAACUGUGACUGACAUUGAUGCUCGAAAGUGUGGGUAUCAAACAGGAUUAGAUACCCUGGUAGUC